GGACAGUGAUACGGUGACGUUAAACUGCUCUGUGUCGACAUAUGAUGGAUGUACUCACACAGUGAAGUGGCUGUAUGAGGGUAAAAAAAACUGAGUUUUGAGGGUCCAGAUGACAGAGGCGUGACAACAUCGCAGUCUGGCUGCUCGGCCACUGUCUCCUUUCCGACUUCUCAUUUCCUGCAGGUUUCUAAGACGUAUGAGUUGCUCAAGUGUAAAGUGACAGAUGGUUACGUGCCCACCAUAAAAGUGUUCCCCUUCAGUCCUCCUCAGUCCUCAGCUGGUACCGGUUGGUCUGCUCUGAACUACAUCAUGUUGGCUCUGCAUGUGGCUGAAGUCCUCCUAAUGGCUGGGAUUACUGUUCUCCUCCUCAGAGCUCGAGUUUCUAAAAAGAAAUAAUGGAUGCUGGAUCAGGGAGGUUGGGAGUUAAAAAGCUGGACAGCCCUGGGGACAAAGGCUUCCCUUCUCUGCACCUGAUUAACACAAAGUGUCAGCCCGGAGCUGAACUGUGGUUUAUUUUCCAGGGAACCGUAGAGCACCUGAUGACAACACUGUGCAUGGUGAUGGAGAUGAACAUGGCGGCACUGUGAACUUUGAAAACGUUGGAGAGCCUUCUGUUUCUGUCAGACUCCCCUAGAGCUGGGCAUUAUAUCGAUAUCGUGAUAUGAGACUAUAGAUAUCGUCUUAGAUUUUGGAUAUCGUAAAAUCGUAAUAUA